rnacentral:rRNA from 1 species
CACCGGCGGCUCGAGUGGUAACCCGUUAUUAUUGGGUCUAAAGGGUCUGUAGCCGGCCGGAUAAGUCUCUUGAGAAAUCUGGCAGCUUAACUGUCAGGCUUUCAGGAGAUACUGUCUGGCUCGAGGCCGGGAGAGGUGAGAGGUACUUCAGGGGUAGGGGUGAAAUCUUGUAAUCCUUGAAGGACCACCAGUGGCGAAGGCGUCUCACCAGAACGGACCUGACGGCAAGGGACGAAAGCUAGGGGCACGAACCGGAUUAGAUACCCCCGUAGUCCCUGAGCGGG